GUUCUUUGAAAUGGGUUGGUACAAACGCAAAGAACAAUUUUCCAAACUACAAAGAGUGGACUGAAGAAGCGGAAAAGUCCUUAAUAGGGUGCGAUGGCAUCUGCCAACAGUCUUGCAAGGUUGACACGAGCUUUUGUGCAAGUCAAGAUAAACCUACACAGAAUCAGACCAAAUCCGUCAGUUGCCGAUGCAAAAUGACUCCUGUGCGUAAUUUCCGAGGCCAAAUUUGCAGCCUCGGUUUGACACCAUGCCUUGACCAAGACAAUCCAGAGAACUUAGGAUUUGAUGAUAGCCCGAUUGGUUUUUGGAUUGAAAGCCUUGAGAAUGAGACAUGAUUUGCUUCUAUGUGGUCUUCAGAAGAAAAGACAUAAUCAUGUCUUUUGUUUCGAAAUGUGUAAUUCCCGUAACGACUGCAUCAAUAUUUAUGUAUCCAGAUACUUCAGUUCCUUGAGUUAUUGUAUUGUGUGUAUUUUCAGCGAAUCUUCGCUUUUCUUUUGUCAGGUACACAUAUUAUGAUUUCAUUAUAAAUUGUAUUUCUAAUGGCACUGUUUCUCUUGGAUUCUCAAGGAUUUUCCUAACAGAGUACAAGUCGGGAAGAUUGUAAGCUGAAUGAAUUAAGAUGAACAACGAGGUUAUAUUUCCUUGGUAAUGUGGUGGAGGUGUGAAUGGGACAAAGGACCAAGGAUGAAUGGUGAAAGAGUGGAGGGAAGUUGGCGUAUGAUUACCGGAUGGUGGCUGUUGACUAGACAUUUAUUGAUCAGUUGUGGAGGU